rnacentral:rRNA from 1 species
UGGGGAAUAUUGGACAAUGGGCGAAAGCCUGAUCCAGCAAUGCCGCGUGAGUGAUGAAGGCCUUAGGGUUGUAAAGCUCUUUUACCCGGGAUGAUAAUGACAGUACCGGGAGAAUAAGCCCCGGCUAACUCCGUGCCAGCAGCCGCGGUAAUACGGAGGGGGCUAGCGUUGUUCGGAAUUACUGGGCGUAAAGCGCACGUAGGCGGCUUUGUAAGUUAGAGGUGAAAGCCCGGGGCUCAACUCCGGAAUUGCCUUUAAGACUGCAUCGCUAGAAUUGUGGAGAGGUAAGUGGAAUUCCGAGUGUAGAGGUGAAAUUCGUAGAUAUUCGGAAGAACACCAGUGGCGAAGGCGGCUUACUGGACACAUAUUGACGCUGAGGUGCGAAAGCGUGGGGAGCAAACAGG